rnacentral:rRNA from 1 species
GACGAACGCUGGCGGCGUGCCUAAUACAUGCAAGUUGAGCGAUGAAGAUUGGUGCUUGCACCAAUUUGAAGAGCAGCGAACAGGUGAGUAACGCGUGGGGAAUCUGCCUUUGAGCGGGGGACAACAUUUGGAGACGAAUGCUAAUACCGCAUAACAACUUUAAACAUAAGUUUUAAGUUUGAAAGAUGCAAUUGCAUCACUCAAAGAUGAUCCCGCGUUGUAUUAGCUAGUUGGUGAGGUAAAGGCUCACCAAGGCGAUGAUACAUAGCCGACCUGAGAGGGUGAUCGGCCACAUUGGGACUGAGACACGGCCCAAACUCCUACGGGAGGCAGCAGUAGGGAAUCUUCGGCAAUGGACGAAAGUCUGACCGAGCAACGCCGCGUGAGUGAAGAAGGUUUUCGGAUCGUAAAACUCUGUUGGUAGAGAAGAACGUUGGUGAGAGUGGAAAGCUCAUCAAGUGACGGUAACUACCCAGAAAGGGACGGCUAACUACGUG